rnacentral:rRNA from 1 species
AUUGAACGCUUGCGGCAGGCCUAACACAUGCAAGUCGAACGAGUGGCGGACGGGUUAGUAAUGUCUGGGAACCUGCCUGAUGGAGGGGGAUAACUACUGGAAACGGUAGCUAAUACCGCAUACCCUCAGAUGUGCCCAGAUGGGAUCAGCUAGUUGGUGGGGUAACGGCUCACCAGGGCGACGAUCCCUAGCUGGGCUGAGAGGAUGACCAGCCACACUGGAACUGGGACACGGUCCAGACUCCUACGGGAGGCCGCAGUGGGUAAUAUUGGACAUGGGGCGCAAGCCUGAUGAAGCCAUGCCGCGUGUAUGAAGAGGGCAUACGGGUUGUAAAGUACUUUCAGCGGGGAGGCGUUACCCGCAGAAGAAGCACCGGCUAACUCCGUGCCAGCAGCCGCGGUAAUUC